rnacentral:RNase_P_RNA from 1 species
CGAGUUGGCUGGAUCGUCGCAGCCCGUGGGGAUCCCUGCGGGGUGAGGAAAGUCCGGGCUCCGAAGGGCAGGGUGGUGGCUAACAGCCACCUGGGGCAACCCACGGGAUAGUGCCACAGAAAUCAGACCGCCUCGCACCGGAUGGUUGAGCCAGCGCUGCAAGGCGCGUCGGUCGAAACCACGCGGUGCAAGGUCAGGGUGAAACGGUGAGGUAAGAGCUCACCAGCGCCGUUGGUGACAGCGGCGGCUUGGUAAACCCCACCCGGAGCAAGGCCAAGCAGGGGAUGCUGGAGCGCUGCCCGCGCGAUAUCCCCGGGUAGGCUGCUGGAGCCGUGGAGCAAUCCACGGCCUAGAUAGAUGACGGUCACCGGCCGCCGGAGGUCACGCUGAGCGCGGCCCCGGCUACCGGCACAGAACCCGGCUUAUCGGCCAACUCGUCCG